GACGAACGCUGGCGGCGUGCUUAACACAUGCAAGUCGAACGAUGAAGCCUUCGGGUGGAUUAGUGGCGAACGGGUGAGUAACACGUGGGUGAUCUGCCCUGCACUUUGGGAUAAGCCUGGGAAACUGGGUCUAAUACCGAAUAUGAUCAUGCUCUUCAUGGGGUGUGGUGGGAAGCUUUUGCGGUGUGGGAUGGGCCCGCGGCCUAUCAGCGUGUUGGUGGGGUAAUGGCCUACCAAGGCGAGGACGGGUAGCCGGCCUGAGAGGGUGACCGGCCACAGUGGGACUGAGAUACGGCCCAGACUCCUACGGGAGGCAGCAGUGGGGAAUAUUGCACAAUGGGCGCAAGCCUGAUGCAGCGACGCCGCGUGAGGGAUGACGGCCUUCGGGUUGUAAACCUCUUUCAGCAGGGACGAAGCGAAAGUGACGGUACCUGCAGAAGAAGGACCGGCCAACUACGUGCCAGCCGCCGCCGUAA
rnacentral:rRNA from 1 species